UGCAUAUCCCAAAAGCGGAGGAAAAGAAACCAACCGGGAUUGCCUUAGUAACGGCGAGUGAAGCGGCAAAAGCUCAAAUUUGAAAUCUGGCGUCUUCGACGUCCGAGUUGUAAUUUGAAGAAGGCGACUUUGUAGCUGGUCCUUGUCUAUGUUCCUUGGAACAGGACGUCAUAGAGGGUGAGAAUCCCGUGUGGCGAGGAUCCCAGUUAUUUGUAAAGUGCUUUCGACGAGUCGAGUUGUUUGGGAAUGCAGCUCUAAGUGGGUGGUAAAUUCCAUCUAAAGCUAAAUAUUGGCGAGAGACCGAUAGCGAACAAGUACAGUGAUGGAAAGAUGAAAAGAACUUUGAAAAGAGAGUGAAAAAGUACGUGAAAUUGUUGAAAGGGAAGGGCAUUUGAUCAGACAUGGCGUUUGCUUCGGCUUUCGCUGGGCCAGCAUCAGUUUUAGCGGUUGGAUAAAUCCUCGGGAAUGUGGCUCUGCUUCGGUAGAGUGUUAUAGCCCGUGGGAAUACAGCCAGCUGGGACUGAGGAUUGCGACUUUUGUCAAGGAUGCUGGCGUAAUGGUCUAAAUGCCGCCCGUCUUGAACCCACGGACC
rnacentral:rRNA from 2 species